AAGGGAAUUGAAACAUCUAAGUACCUUUUGAAAAAGAAAUCAACCGAGAGACCGUAAAUAGUGGCGAGCGAAAGCGGUUUAGGCUUAAAACAUGACCGUCUUUUUUUGAAUACCAAUGCCGUAGAGGGUAAUAGCCCCGUAAAAAAAAGAAAUCAAUGUUUUUUUAGUAUUACAUUAUCAAGCAAUCUUGUGUGAAAAAUGGGGUACCAUCCUCAAAGCCUAAAAAAUAUUUAACAACCGAUAGUGAACAAGUACCGUGAGGGAAAGGUGAAAAAGGAGGAUACUCCCAGUGAAAAGAACCUGAAACUUAAUGCUAUAAUCUGUUGGAGCUUUUAUAGUGACAGCGUGCCUUUUGCAUAAUGAGUCAGCGACUUUGUAUGGAUGGCGAGCUUAAACCGUUAGGUGUAGGCGUAGUGAAAUCGAAAAAUAAAAAACCAGUCAUCUGUGCAAAACCCGAAACUGAGUGAUCUAACCAUGAACAGGCUGAAGUUUUGAUGGCAACAUCUUUCUAAGGGCCGAACCCGUGUAUGUGGCAAAAUACUGGGAUGAUUUGUGGUUAGGGGUGAAAGGCCAAUCAAACUCAGAGAUAGCUGGUUUUCUGCGAAAUCUAUUUAAGUAGAGUGUUUAUUGUGAUACCUGAGGUAGAGCUCUCUUUUAGUGCGGGGUUGUCUAUCUUCUACCAAACUUUUGGAAACUUCGAAUUCGGGAUUAUUAAAUUUAAACAAACAGACUAGAGGUGCUAAGAUCUUUAGUCGAGAGGGAAACAGCCCAGAUUGACCGUUAAGGACCUUAAAAAUACAGAAGUUAAAGGAAGUUAAAAACUUUUAACAGCCAGGAGGUAGGCUUAGAAGCAGCCACCCUAUGAUGAAAGCGUAGCAGCUCACUGGUCUAGGUUUUUUGCACCGAAAAUUUAAUGGGAUUAAAAGUAUUUUCCGAAGCGGCAAAAUCCAAUUUUUGGAUUGGUAGCAGAAUGUUCUGUAAAUUUUUAAAGCUAAGCUGUCAGGUUUAGUGGAGAUAUCAGAAGUAAGAAUGCUGACAUAAGUAACGAUAAAGAGUGUUUAAAACACUCUCGCUGUAAACCCAAGGUUUUCGAUGUCAAGUUAAGCUGCGUCGAAGAGAAAUUCAAAAAUAAAAACGGCCCCUAAGAAUAUAGUGAAAACUCAUUUUGAUGGGAAACAAUAUACUGUUUUGAAAGUUGUGACAAAAGGCUUGAAUUUUGUGUUAAAAAGAUCAUUUUGAUGCAAAUUAAUCUUUUCAAGAAAUAGCACUUUCUUUAUUACCGUACCGUAAACUGACACAAGUGGGUGGGUUGAGAAAACUAAAGCGCUUGAGAGAACUGUGUAAAAGGAACUCGGCAAAAUGGCUCCGUAACUUAGGAAGAAGGAGUGACUUUUAAUUCAAUAUUUGCAAUAUGCAAUAAAUGUUCUAAAAGUUGUCACAAAAUUGGAAGAAGCAACUGUUUAACAAAAACACAGGUCUCUGCUAAUUCGCAAGAAGAUGUAUAGGGGCUGACGCGUGCCCGGUGCUGCAAGGUUAAGGGGAGGCGUCUUGGCGCUGAACUCAAGCCCCAGUAAACGGCGGCCGUAACUCUGACGGUCCAAAGGUAGCGAAAUUCUUUGCCACCUAAUUAGUGGCCUGCAUGAAUCGCGUAAUGACUUCUUUACUGUCUCUUACACAGACUCAGUGAAAUUGAAAUAUCCGUGAAGAUGCGGAUUACUCACAGCUAGACGGAAAGACCCUGUA
rnacentral:rRNA from 1 species